rnacentral:misc_RNA from 1 species
GCAAAGUGAGUUGUUAUUUAUUAGUGUGUUGCAGAGUACCUUUUGUUUGUGUGAGGGGUAGAAAUGGCAUACUCCAAAACGUUUCUUCUUGUUGGACUUGUGUUGGCUGUCCUUCUACUCGUCUCCUCUGAGGUUUCAGCCAGAGAGCUAGCUGAAACUAAGGAAAAUAUGCAAUUGAAAAGUGUGGAAGAAGCCAAGUAUGGUGGUCACGGCUAUGGCUACGAACAUGGCCAUGGACACGAACAUGGACACGAAUAUGGACAUGGGCACCCUGGACAUGGUGGUCACCCUGGACAUGGUGCUGGUGAGACAAAAGAGGCG